UACGUAGGUGGCAAGCGUUGUCCGGAUUUAUUGGGCGUAAAGGGCGCGCAGGCGGUUCGUUAGGUCCGAGGUGAAAUCUCCCGGCUCAACUGGGAGGGGUCUUCGGAUACCGGCGGGCUUGAGGUGAGCAGAGGUGAGCGGAAUUCUGGGUGUAGUGGUGAAAUGCGUAGAUAUCCAGAGGAACACCAGUGGCGAAGGCGGCUCACUGGGCUCCACCUGACGCUGAGGCGCGAAAGCCAGGGGAGCAAACGGG
rnacentral:rRNA from 1 species